GCUUCUGUAGUUUAAUGGAUAAAAUAUCUCCCUCCGAAGGAGAUGAUGCAGGUUCGAUUCCUGCCGGAAGCA
rnacentral:tRNA from 1 species